CCUACGGGAGGCAGCAGUGAGGAAUAUUGGUCAAUGGACGAGAGUCUGAACCAGCCAAGUAGAGUGAAGGAUGACUGCCCUAUGGGUUGUAAACUUCUUUUAUAUGGGAAUAAAAUGUUCCACGUGUGGGAUUUUGUCUGUACCAUAUGAAUAAGCAUCGGCUAACUCCGUGCCAGCAGCCGCGGUAAUACUGAGGAUCCGAGCGUUAUCCGGAUUUAUUUGUUUUAAAGGGUGAGUAGGUUGAUUGUUAAGUCAGUUGUGAAAGUUUGCGGCUCAACCGUAAAAUUGCAGUUGAAACUGGCAGUCUUGAGUACAGUAGAGGUGGGCGGAAGUCGUGGUGUAGCGGUGAAAUGCUUCGAUAUCACGAAGAACUCCGAUUGCGAAGGCAGCUCACGGGACUGCAACUGACACUGAGGCUCGAAAGUGUGGGUAUCAAACAGGAUUAGAUACCCUUGUAGGC
rnacentral:rRNA from 1 species